UGGGGAAUAUUGUACAAUGGGCGAAAGCCUGAUCCAGCCAUGCCGCGCGUGUGAAGAAGGCCUUUUGGUUGUAAAGCACUUUAAGCGUGGAGGAGGCUACUUGGAUUAAUACUCUAGGAUAGUGGACGUUACUCGCAGAAUAAGCACCGGCUAACUCUGUGCCAGCAGCCGCGGUAAUACCGAGGGUGCGAGCGUUAAUCGGAUUUACUGGGCGUAAAGCGUGCGUAGGCGGCUUCUUAAGUCGGAUGUGAAAUCCCUGAGCUUAACUUAGGAAUUGCAUUCGGUACUGGGAAGCUAGAGUAUGGGAGAGGAUGGUAGAAUUCCAGGUGUAGCAGUGAAAUGCGUAGGGAUCUGGAGGAAUACCGAUGGCGAAGGCAGCCAUCUGGCCUAAUACUGACGCUGAGGUACGAAAGCAUGGGGAGCAAACAGG
rnacentral:rRNA from 1 species